rnacentral:rRNA from 1 species
GAUGAACGCUAGCGGCAGGCCUAAUACAUGCAAGUCGAACGGUAAGGCCCUUUCGGGGUACACGAGUGGCGGACGGGUGCGUAACGCGUACACAACGUACCUCUGACAGGGGGAUAGCAUUGGGAAACUGGUGGUAAUACCCCAUAGUAUUGCUGGGAGGCAUUUCUUUGGCAAUUAAAGUUACGGCGGUCAGAGAUCGGUGUGCGUCCGAUUAGCUAGUUGGCGGGGUAACGGCCCACCAAGGCGACGAUCGGUAGGGGGUGGUGAGAGCAUGACCCCCACCACUAGGUACGGUGAGAGACGGACCCGAACCUACCUACCGGUACGGGACGGA